UCGCGUGCUCUCGACGCGCCGGCUUUGUGCACGUUUGCAGUCAGUGCCGUGCCGGUCGCUUGCCGUGAUGUGUUUUGAUCUACUCGUAUUGUUUGUCCGAACUUCCGCUUUCAAAAUUUGCAUUAUAUUAGAUCAUCAAUCGACUAUUUAAUUGUAAAUACUAUAGUAAUGUUAUAUAUUACUCGCGCGUUUAUGGUACAUUAUUGUACAAACGUCGUAGGAUAUUUAAUCGCGUUUCGUGUGCAUACUUAUUCAGGUUACAAGGUUAGGUGUCGGCCGGUAAUUGAUUCGGAUGUAGGAUGGCCUCCAUGUACAUUUAUUCAUCAGUAUCCUUGCCACUUGUUGUGCGCUGGUGACUGAUGCACACAAUAACAAUCGAUUUUGCACCUGAGUCUGACAUCGAAGAAGGACCAUUCUUGCAACACAUUAUGAAUAUUUAAUUUCUUUAUCAUUUUCCUAAAUAACUUUUCUGAUUAUCUAUUAAAUUGACCCCAAAAUGCAUUUUUAUGUUUGAAUGACUAACUUUUCGUUGAUAGAAAGGAUAAACCUUAAGGCUUUCACUAAAACUUUUACCACUCUACGACAUGUUUCGCCACACUGUGGCAUCAUCAGGCAGAUAAAUAUUAUCAUUUUCUUAAUUUACUUUUGUGAUUAUCUCACAAAUUAACCCCCAAAAUUAAA